AUUUGUGAAAUGAAGUGUUACUCUGUUGAGUUGCUUCUAGGUGAGAAGAAGAAGAAGAAAGUGAAGCUAAGCAUUCUGCGAGAAGGGAUAAACCAAGUUUUAGUUAAAGGAAACCAUGUAGAAAAAGCAUGCAUGGUGGAGUGAAGCCGACCAAUAUAUAAAAGAUGUGUAUUGUGUUAGGCAGAGCAACAAGGAAUGUACCAAGAAAUUUUCAGAUGCGGUUGAUGAAAAGACGAUCACAAUAGUCUAAACACAAGGCGACAAGUCUUGGAGUAGGAAAGGAUUCAUGUUCUCAGUGAAAGACAUGCAAGACUAAUGUGUGUUUAUGAGACAUGAUGUGUUUACGUGGUUCGUUAUAAAAUGUAUUUCUAAAGGGUUUUUCUUUGAACUUCACUAAGUCUUUUGACUUACGUUUUAAAGUUCUUCCUUCCAAGUAAUCAUAUUAAGGCUAGGUUGGAAAAUGGUGAAAUGAUGGCUAGGCGAGGAAGCUUGGCGAGGCGUAUAGUUUAAGUUUACUGUUUUAUUUGUUUGUAAAGUAUUGUAAAACGUUUGGUUAAAGGUUAAUAAAAUUUAAUCUUUUGUUCU